rnacentral:rRNA from 1 species
UGAGGAAUAUUGCGCAAUGGACGAAAGUCUGACGCAGCCAUGCCGCGUGAAGGAUUGAAGGCCCUAUGGGUUGUAAACUUCUUUUGUACGGGAAUAAACGCUCCUACGUGUAGGAGCCUGAAGGUACCGUAAGAAUAAGCACCGGCUAACUCCGUGCCAGCAGCCGCGGUAAUACGGAGGGUGCAAGCGUUAUCCGGAUUUAUUGGGUUUAAAGGGUCCGUAGGUGGACUGUUAAGUCAGUGGUGAAAGCCCAUAGCUCAACUAUGGAACUGCCAUUGAUACUGACAGUCUUGAGUAUAUGUGAAGUUGGCGGAAUGUGUGGUGUAGCGGUGAAAUGCUUAGAUAUCACACAGAACACCGAUUGCGAAGGCAGCUGGCUAACAUAUAACUGACACUGAGG